CGCUGUCACUCCUACGGGAGGCAGCAGUGGGGAAUAUUGCACAAUGGGCGCAAGCCUGAUGCAGCCAUGCCGCGUGUAUGAAGAAGGCCUUCGGGUUGUAAAGUACUUUCAGCAGUGAGGAAGGCGGGUACGUUAAUAGCGUGCUCGUUUGACGUUAGCUGCAGAAGAAGCACCGGCUAACUCCGUGCCAGCAGCCGCGGUAAUACGGAGGGUGCGAGCGUUAAUCGGAAUUACUGGGCGUAAAGCGCAUGCAGGUGGUUUGUUAAGUCAGAUGUGAAAGCCCCGGGGCUCAACCUCGGAAUUGCAUUUGAAACUGGCAGACUAGAGUACUGUAGAGGGGGUAGAAUUUCAGGUGUAGCGGUGAAAAUGCGUAGAGAUCUGAAGGAAUACCGGUGGCGAAGGCGGCCCCCUGGACAGAUACUGACACUCAGAUGCGAAAGCGUGGGGAGCAAACAGGAUUAGAUACCCCUGGUAG
rnacentral:rRNA from 1 species